UUUAAAUGGCCGCAGUAUAUUGACUGUGCAAAGGUAGCAUAAUAAAUAGUCUUUUAAUUGAAGGCUGGAAUGAAUGAUUGGACGAGAUAUUAACUGUUUCAUAUAAAUUUACAAUAGAAUUUUAUUUUUUAGUCAAAAAGCUAAAAUUAAUUUAAAAGACGAGAAGACCCUAUAAAUCUUUAUAUUUAUUUUAUUAUGAUUUUUUAGAUUAUUUUUGUUUUAAUAUUUUAUAAUAUUUUAUUGGGGUGAUAUUAAAAUUUAAUAAACUUUUAAUUUUAUUAAACAUUAAUUUAUGAGUUCAUUGAUCCAUUAAUAAUGAUUAAAAAUUUAAGUUACUUUAGGGAUAACAGCGUAAUUUUUUUGGAGAGUUCUUAUCGAUAAAAAAGAUUGCGACCUCGAUGUUGGAUUAAGAGAUAAUAUUAGGU
rnacentral:rRNA from 1 species